CUACGGGAGGCAGCAGCAAGGAAUUUUGUGCAAUGGGCGAAAGCCUGACACAGCAACGCCGCGUGGGGGAUGAAGGCCUUCGGGUUGUAAACCCCUUUUCUCAGGGAAGAAUAAUGACGGUACCUGAGGAAUAAGCCUUGGCUAACUACGUGCCAGCAGCCGCGGUAAU
rnacentral:rRNA from 1 species